rnacentral:rRNA from 1 species
GACGAACGCUGGCGGCGUGCUUAACACAUGCAAGUCGAACGAAGUGGCGAACGGGUGCGUAAUACGUGAGUAACCUGCCCUCCUUUUUGGGAUAAGCCUUGGAAACGGGGUCUAAUACCGAAUAAAGGCGGUUGGGCUCGCGGGCUAUCAGCUGGUUGGUGGGGUGAUGUCCUUCCAAGGGGGUGACGGGUAGCCGGCCUGAGAGGGUGACAGGGCACAUUGGGACUGGGAUACGGCCCAAACUCCGACGGGAGUCGGCAGUGUGGGAUAUUGCACGAUGGGCGAAAGCCGGAUGCAGCGACGCCGCAUGGGGGAUGAAGGCUUUCGGGUUGUAAACCUCUUUCGCGAUCGAGCGGGUAGGUGGAGAAGAAGCGCCGGCUAACUACGUGCCAGCAGCCGCGGUAAUAC